ensembl:lncRNA
UGUGUGUGUGUGUGUGCCCACGUGUGUGUUUGUGAGGGUGCGUGUAUCAUAUAGGGCCUUCAAAGUUAUUCUACUUUUUUCAAGAGUCUAUCAAAGGAUUUUGAGAAGUUUUCCAUGAUCUGACUCACGUCUCUGAAAGACCACUCUGAGUACUGGGUGAAGAAUUGAUUGCAGAUGAACAAAAGAGCAGGUUAAAAUGAAGACUUUUUAAACAAACAAAAGUGGAGACUUUGUAAAUCACUGAAGAUAAGAAGCUAGAAGGAGAGACAUCGCAGAUGGCCAUUUAGAGAUUCAUGAGAAUUGAAGGGUAGUUUAAGUAGUAUAUAUAUAUAAGUAAAUCUUAGAAGAAUAUUGAUUGUGUAAAACAGUAAUAAUAAAUUCCUUGAAACUUAAAGUAUAAUGACAUACAAAUUAAUAACAACAAGAACACAUUGCUCAGGAUGAUGAUUAACAGAAUUAGAGUUGCUUGAUUAGGGUAAGACGUGAUAAUACUAGUAUUUUAUAUUAAAGUUAAAUAAAUCAGAUAUAAGUAAUAAUCAAUAAGGUAUACUAAGUGAAAUGCAUUCCUAAUGAACUAUUUGAAGGAAAAAGAAAUAUUUUAAUGUAAGAAGCAAAUAUAAAUGGAGAAAGAAAAUAGAAUUCAUGGACCAAGAGGAAGUGAAUAAAAAAAAUUGAAGGUCUGUAUCUAUGUGUCUACAUUAAUAACUCUAUUAAAUAUAAAUGGCUAAAUACUCUAUUUAAAUGAGAAACAUUGCUAGAUUUGGUGAAAAAGAAUAAGCAUGUGUUUAUGAGACAAACCUUAGUCACACAAACAAAAAGAUGGUGAAAAUAAAAUAGUAAAUAAUAUGUCAUUAAUAGAGAUUGAUAGAUUGAAAUUUCAUGAUAUGAGGAACUUUGCAUUAUCAAAGAAUCUUACUAAAUGUAAGUCACAAAAUGCAUAAUGUUUUAUAUUCAUAUAAUUGACAAAGAGUUUGUAUUUCCUAUAUACAAAAGAGAAAUUCCACUCAAUAGAAAAAAAAGAAAAAGUGGGACAGGCAUUUCAUACAUACACAAUUAUCUAAAUUGCUAAGAACAUAGAUAGAUAUUUGUGAUUGCUAGUCAUCAGGAAAUUAAAACUAUAAUUUUUACAAAUGGCAUGCACAUUAGAUUGAUAAAAACUGAAAGACAAGUAGUACACUGCUCUGUAAAGUGUCAGUUUCUGCAAACAUUGUGAACAACUGCUCAUCAUUAUUUACUAAGUUUGAAUAGAUGGAUAGAUUAGUAGAUAGUUAGAUCUUUUACUCUAUGGCAAUUCCACUAUUUGAGUAUAUCACACACACACACACAGAGACACACACAGACACACACACAUUUCAGAUGUUUGUGUACCAAAAGACAUGAGUAAGAAUGUUCAUAAUAGUACUAACCAAAAGAAAGGGGGAGGAUUAAGUUCUUUAUCAAAUAUACAAUAAAACUAAGUUUUAAAAAUAUUUAUGUAUUAAAAAGUAUAGAAAAAACAUGAAAACAAUGAACUAUUGGCUAAUGCAACAACACAAAUGAAAUCAUUUAUUCCUAAUGUCUUGAGGGGAAAAAUGAGAUGAAAAAGAGUUCAUAAUGAUAAGUCUAUUAUAUAAAGAUUAAAAAGAGAGAAAAUACAUCCAUAGUAUUAGCAGUGACAGAAAUGUUUACCUUUGGGAAAGAAGUAUUUAGUGAUGGGAAAACUGAUAGGGGAUUCUGGGCUGUGAGGUGCAACACUGUAACUCCUGUCCUAGAUGACGGCUACAUGGAUUUUUUCCCCUUGAUGGUGAUUCAUAGAGCCAUGUUUGUAUGUUUUGCCUUCCUAUAUUUUAUGGUAAAUAAAUAUUUACUUUAAAAUAAUGGAGGAGAAGGAAAGAUGGGUUUUUAGGAUAACUAGUACCUAGGAAGAAUAUGCUUGAUGUUUUGUCAGGCUCUUUUCAUCAUUUUCCUUUUUUUCCUCUUUCCCAGAAAACAAAGCCUAUAAUGUCAUACAAGAGUUGGCGAUUACUGGAUGGUAAAUGGCUUUGACUCCUACAUAAUGUGCAUGUAUCCAGAGUCUUGAGACUUUGAGAACACUCUAUGGAUACGAAUCUUGUAAAUUCAAUUUUUAAUCCCCCUUUGAAACUAUGACCUCCUCCUUAACAGAUUUUUUUUGUUUUUUCUAUUAUUUUGAGAAUACUUUAUUAGUUUCUGUAAUCAAACCCAUGUAGACAAGACCUUGCAUAUUUAAUACAGUGUGUUUCCCCUGUACAAAUGGAAAAUAAAAUUAAGCUUAAUGUUUCUAGACCUAUAUGGCUGUUAGUUUCCGUACAGUUUCAACUCAGCAUGGUAAACUAGGAUAAUUAUUUUGAAAGUUGACAACACAGUUAAAGUUUCCAAAAGUUUAAAUUAUAUUUAUAUUUAUUUGUAUUUGUAUUUAUAUAGCAUAUGUUAUGCAUCAAGAGCAGCAAUAGCUUUUCUUAUAGAACUCACAGCAAUUCUCCUGCCUCUUAACAGAUAUUUUAUUCAAUAUUUGCAUUUUCUAUUUAUAUUCAAGAAAUACUGAGUUCUUGCAUUAUUUUCAUUCAUUCAACCUGUAUUUACUGAGAAACUGCUGUAUGUAAUUUGUUCUUCUGUUCUUCAUGUUGAUAUCAACAGGCUGUUGCUAUAACAAAUUGAUUAUAUGUACUUUCACUUUAAUCUAUUGUAACUUUUUUUCAUGCUAUAUCACUGAAGUCCGCAAGGUCAAGAAAAAAGUAUGAAAGUCCAGGGAUUCUCAGCAAAUAUAUUCCCUUCAAGGACACCAGGAGAUGAACAGGCUAACUGAGAGUUUCUUAAGGCAUUAUCAUUCUUUGCAGAAAUUUUCUAUGGAUAUCUCAGUGGUGAAUGAGAGUUGCUUCCAUGCCAAAGUAAUUACUAAUCAUAGUCACAGUCCUGAACUUCUUAUUCCAGGAAAACAACCUAGUGUAUCUGUAGCAGCAUCUCUCACAUAAUGUGGCCCUGCAUGUGGAGGGAGAAGGCACCAAGGCCACGGGUGGUGGUGGCUGAAGUUCACGGUACUCACAUAUCACCGCUGAGUUAACAUUGUGGUGAAAACUUGAGGGCUAAGUUGCGAUCUGUUCGUGAAGGUAAAAAAAAAAUACUUUACUAUGCAGAAUAAAAUGUUUCAUAUCUGG